UACUGGAAGACUUAAGGACGCAGCCAGAACCCCACAUCUGAAAGGAAGAAGGGGAGGAGAAACUGGUGAGGUGCAGAUGACUGGAAGACGGCAAACGUGGCUCCUUCAGGAGUGAAGGAUGUGUAAGAGUGUAGCAUGUCAAAGAUGCUGCCUGGCCUGCUGAGUUCCUCCAGCAUCAUCGUGUUUUUCAUCCAGAUUCCAGCAUCUGCGGUCCUUUGUUUCUCUUACCAAAGUGGCAAUAGUGACUGCAAUCUAAAAU